rnacentral:misc_RNA from 1 species
UUUUUUUUCCCCCUUUUUUUUUCCCUAUUUUCUUUUGACGUUUUUGUAGGCAUAAAAAAAAAUGCAAUUAAAUAUUAAAUUAAUAGUGUUUGGUGGGUGAGAAAAUAAAAGUCUCAGUAGUUUGUGAAAUACUUCAGCACAGCUAUAUGGCCAUUUUUCUCAUAUAUAUAGUCUCAAAUUCGGAUUUCUAAAAUAAAAAGAACUACUAAUUUGUUUCCCCCGUUUUCCCAGGAAUCAAACAGA